GAUGAACGCUGGCGGCGUGCUUAACACAUGCAAGUCGAACGGAAAGGCCCAAGCUUGCUUGGGUACUCGAGUGGCGAACGGGUGAGUAACACGUGGGUGAUCUGCCCUGCACUUCGGGAUAAGCCUGGGAAACUGGGUCUAAUACCGGAUAGGACCACGUCUUGGAUGUUGUGGUGGAAAGUUUUUUCGGUGUGGGAUGAGCUCGCGGCCUAUCAGCUUGUUGGUGGGGUAAUUGCCUACCAAGGCGUCGACGGGUAGCCGGCCUGAGAGGGUGUACGGCCACAUUGGGACUGAGAUACGGCCCAGACUCCUACGGGAGGCAGCAGUGGGGAAUAUUGCACAAUGGGCGCAAGCCUGAUGCAGCGACGCCGCGUGGGGGAUGACGGCCUUCGGGUUGUAAACUCCUUUCGCUAGGGACGAAGCGUUUUUGUGACGGUACCUGGAGAAGAAGCACCGGCUAACUACGUG
rnacentral:rRNA from 1 species